rnacentral:rRNA from 1 species
UACAGAGGGGGUUAGCGUUGUUCGGAAUUACUGGGCGUAAAGCGCGCGUAGGCGGAUUAGAAAGUUGGGGGUGAAAUCCCGGGGCUCAACCUCGGAACUGCCUCCAAAACUGCUAGUCUAGGGUUCGAGAGAGGUGAGUGGAAUUCCGAGUGUAGAGGUGAAAUUCGUAGAUAUUCGGAGGAACACCAGUGGCGAAGGCGGCUCACUGGCUCGAUACUGACGCUGAGGUGCGAAAGUGUGGGGAGCAAACAGC